GAGUUUGAUCCUGGCUCAGGACGAACGCUGGCGGCAUGCCUAACACAUGCAAGUCGAACGGACGUAGCAAUACGUUAGUGGCGAACGGGUGAGUAACACGUGAGCAACCUACCCGAUACAACGGGAUAACACAGAGAAAUUUGUGCUAAUACCGUAUAAGACCCCGAUGUCGAGUGACAACGAGGUAAAAGCGAAUAAGCGGUAUCGGAUGGGCUCGCGCCCCAUUAGCUAGUUGGUGAGAUAACAGCUCACCAAGGCAACGAUGGGUAGCCGACUUGAGAGAGUGAUCGGCCACACUGGAACUGAGACACGGUCCAGACUCCUACGGGAGGCAGCAGUGGGGAAUAUUGGGCAAUGGAGGCAACUCUGACCCAGCAAUGCCGCGUGAGUGAAGAAGGUUUUCGGAUUGUAAAGCUCUUUGAUUAGGGACGAAGAAAGUGACGUUACCUAAAGAACAAGCUCCGGCUAACUACGUGCCAGCAGCCGCGGUAC
rnacentral:rRNA from 1 species